CGCGAAACCUCCGCAAUGUGAGAAAUCGCGACGGGGGGAUCCCAAGUGCCAUUCUUAACGGGAUGGCUUUUCAUUAGUGUAAAGAGCUUUUGGAAUAAGAGCUGGGCAAGACCGGUGCCAGCCGCCGCGGUAACACCGGCAGCUCUAGUGGUAGCAGUUUUUAUUGGGCCUAAAGCGUCCGUAGCCGGUUUAAUAAGUCUCUGGUGAAAUCCUGCAGCUUAACUGUGGGAAUUGCUGGAGAUACUAUUAGACUUGAGAUCGGGAGAGGUUAGAGGUACUCCCAGGGUAGAGGUGAAAUUCUGUAAUCCUGGGAGGACCGCCUGUUGCGAAGGCGUCUGACUGGAACGAUUCUGACGGUGAGGGACGAAAGCUAGGGGCGCGAACCGGAUUAGAUACCCGGGUAGUCCUAGCUGUAAACGAUGCGGACUUGGUGUUGGGGUGGCUUUGAGCUGUCCCAGUGCCGAAGGGAAGCUGUUAAGUCCGCCGCCUGGGAAGUAUGGUCGCAAGACUGAAACUUAAAGGAAUUGGCGGGGGAGCACCACAACGCGUGGAGCCUGCGGUUUAAUUGGGGUCAACGCCGGAAAUC
rnacentral:rRNA from 1 species